GUCCAUGCCGUAAACGUUGUGUACUAGGUGUGAGAGGUAUCGACCCCUCUCGUGCCGCAGCUAACGCAUUAAGUACACCGCCUGGGGAGUACGGUCGCAAGACUGAAACUCAAAGGAAUUGACGGGGGCCCGCACAAGCGGUGGAGCAUGUGGUUUAAUUCGAGGCAACGCGAAGAACCUUACCCAGGCUUGACAUCCAGCGACAACCGGUGAAAGCCGGCUUCCUCUUCGGAGGCGCGGAGACAGGUGUUGCAUGGCUGUCGU
rnacentral:rRNA from 1 species